rnacentral:rRNA from 1 species
GCGACUAAGCGUACACGGUGGAUGCCCUGGCAGUCAGAGGCGAUGAAGGACGUGCUAAUCUGCGAUAAGCGCCGGUAAGGUGAUAUGAACCGUUAUAACCGGCGAUUUCCGAAUGGGGAAACCCAGUGUGAUUCGUCACACUAUCAUUAACUGAAUCCAUAGGUUAAUGAGGCGAACCGGGGGAACUGAAACAUCUAAGUACCCCGAGGAAAAGAAAUCAACCGAGAUUCCCCCAGUAGCGGCGAGCGAACGGGGAGGAGCCCAGAGCCUGAAUCAGCAUGUGUGUUAGUGGAAGCGUCUGGAAAGGCGCGCGAUACAGGGUGACAGCCCCGUACACAAAAGCGCAUGUGCUGUGAGCUCGAUGAGUAGGGCGGGACACGUGGUAUCCUGUCUGAAUAUGGGGGGACCAUCCUCCAAGGCUAAAUACUCCUGACUGACCGAUAGUGAACCAGUACCGUGAGGGAAAGGCGAAAAGAACCCCGGCGAGGGGAGUGAAAAAGAACCUGAAACCGU